UUUAGCAGUAUUCCAUUGAAGAUGAUAACCAUAGUCUUUUCUCAAAACUAGUACAAAAGACGCAGUUAUAGGGACUAACAUUAAUUGUGGAAAUACGUGUGCAAGAAGUUCACUUUGCAAAACUCAUUUGCUAAUUAGCAGAGAAAACAUAUGUUUGAACCUUACUUGCAGAGAAGGCUGCAUCGACAAUGGCAUCGAUUGUACUCGAGAUCGAGACACAGUAUUCGAUCUUAAAAUUCCAGAAAUUUUCUCCGUGGAUUCCUGUUUCAUACUUUCCUUCAUAUCUAUAUUCACGACUAAAGAAUUAUUUUACUAUAUUAAACUGGCCAAAUUGCCAAAUAAAAAAAGAAACCGUGAUCUUUCGCGGUUUAUUCUUAUUAGAAACCAAUCAUUACACCUGCAAAAUUUUCAAUAAAUUUCAGUUUAUUAAAAUUUAACCGUUACUUCACUAAAACUUUAAUUCCUUUUUUAAAGAUAUUUCUCAUUAUUUUUAUUAUUGACAAACUUUAAGCUAAGUAACGCAUCAAGUUAAAAAGUUUUACUUAUAAAUUUUAUAAAUAUGUUUAAAAAAUUUUUAUGUAGGUUUGUAUAAGACAAAAUACAAGUAUGUAUAUUUUUCAGGAGUUAAAUUGUUCUGGUCUUUUUAAGGUCUGCUGGUAUACUGAUUACCAUAAAGGCAGGAAAGUACAAGCACUGUCAGAAUAGUGAACUACACAGUAUGAUUACCCUAUUAAUACUGAAAGAUACUAACACGUAUUAAACUUCAAGCCAUUAAUAGUAGCAGAUACAGUGGAAAGGAUAUAAUUAAACACGUCGAUUUUUCACAGAGCAUUUUAUUUACUGGCCAUUGCAAUUUUUAAAUAUACUUUCUGAUGGCUUCAACGUUUUCAUAAACCAAUUGUUUAUCUUAAUUUAUUUUAAUUGCGAGUUUAACAUGUCAGAGCUACAUAUUUAUAUACUCUUCUGAAUUCAACAUAUAGAUUUGUCUUUUUCUUUUUACGUUCAUUAAUUUUUCCAUACAUACAAUACAAAAAGAAUUUUCUUCCCUAAGAAAUAUGUUGGAUAAAAUUCAUAAGAAUUUAACACCAGAUUAAAUCUGCAUCUUUCUAUUUUACAGUACAGAGUUUGACUUGUAAAAUUAGUUAUAGAUGUGUAAUAAGUAUGUACAAGAAUGAUGUACUUUAUAUACACUUAUUUGUCACACGCUGAUCACAAAUUGUUUGCUCGCUUGUUGUAAAUACACUUUAUUAAAAGCUCUACUCUUUUGGCACGAGUUCGCCAAAUCUAAAGGAUACACUAAAUUUAUACUUUCCGCUAUCAAUGUCUGAUUUUAUCAUUCAAAAAAAGA